rnacentral:rRNA from 1 species
CGAGAAAGCCCGCAAGGGUGAGUAAAGCGGCGCACGGGUGCGUAACACGUGGGUAAUCUGCCCUAGAGUCCGGAAUAACUCGCCGAAAGGCGUGCUAAUGCCGGAUGAGACCACGGGAGCUUCGGCUCCUGCGGGAAAAAGUGGCCUCUGUAUACAAGCUAUCGCUCUAGGAUGAGCCCGCGGCCCAUCAGCUCGUUGGCGGGGUAAUGGCCCACCAAGGCUACGACGGGUAGCUGGUCUGAGAGGACGAUCAGCCACACUGGAACUGAGACACGGUCCAGACUCCUACGGGAGGCAGCAGUGGGGAAUCUUGCGCAAUGGGCGAAAGCCUGACGCAGCAACGCCGCGUGUGUGAUGAAGGUCUUCGGAUCGUAAAGCACUGUCGCGAGGGACG